ACGUAACCCGUUCUCAAACUUCACACAUUUCGAAAAUUCUCCAGCAGCCUCAUUAUAGGGAGUGUAAUACUUCGACAGCUCUGUGAACUUAGCAGCAUACUCAGUAACAGACUUGUUACCCUGCUUCAAUUCUAAGAACUCUAUCUCUUUCUUUCCUCUGACAUCUUCUGGAAAGUACUUCCUCAGGAAUCUCUCUCUGAACACAGCCCAAGUG
rnacentral:lncRNA from 1 species